AAUUUGAAAUGUUUUCGUCUUCGCUUUUUGUCCACCUCCUCCCUCUUCCCUCAACUCUUACGUUGUUUGCAUACAAACACACAAACACUCCGGGGCAGAUUCUCAUUUCUACUUUGACACCGUCGACCCGAGCGAGGGAGAAGGGUCGGCGCCGCUGUGGUCGACGGGCGGCCUCAAAAAAUCAACAGAAUAACAUUUUGAGAAAAUUGGCAACACUUGAGACUC
ensembl:ncRNA F57G12.11 ncRNA